rnacentral:rRNA from 1 species
GACGAACGCUGGCGGCGCGCUUAAUACAUGCAAGUCGAGCGAGAACCGGAGCGUCGGCUCCGGGGACAGCGGCGAACGGGUGAGUAACACGUGGGUAACCUGCCCUCGGCACCGGGAUAGCCCGGGGAAACCCGGAUUAAUACCGGAUGGCCCUUUCGGUCUUCGGACCGGUCGGCAAAGGUAGCUUCGGCCUCCGGCCGAGGAUGGGCCCGCGGCGGAUUAGCUUGUUGGUGAGGUAACGGCUCACCAAGGCUCCGAUCCGUAGCUGGUCUGAGAGGACGAUCAGCCACACUGGGACUGAGACACGGCCCAGACUCCUACGGGAGGCAGCAGUAGGGAAUCUUGCGCAAUGGGCGAAAGCCUGACGCAGCGACGCCGCGUGCGGGAAGACGGCCUUCGGGUUGUAAACCGCUUUCAGGAGGGACGAAGCCACUCGGGUGAAUAGCCCAGAGGGUGACGGCACCUCCAGAAGAAGCCCCGGCUAACUACGUGCCAGCCGCCGCAGUAA